AGAUGUACAAUAUGAGCGUGAAAGAAUGAUGGGAAUAAUCAUAGUUUUUAAUGUUUAUUAUGAUUAUUCCCAUCAUUUUUUCACGCUCAUAUUGU